GAAACUGUAUCAGAUGCUACUCUUACCACAGAAAUCGAUGAAAUUCCACAAGAAACUACAACUUACGUUACAGAAAUCGAUGAAAAAAUCUUACUGAAGACGUGUAAAAUUUACAAUUAUUUGAUACCUUUCUGCCCAAUCACAAAAGAAAUCGGACUCUGUCCAGCACGCAGAAAGAGUGAAGCACGUGCUAUCUGCGAAGAGCAUGGACUGUCCGUUUUUCCUUCUAACACUAUCAGAUCAGUAAGAACUGAAUUGGAAGUGCUUAGAAAAUGUAAACUAC